CUAGCAAGUCGAGCGAACAGACGAGGAGCUUGCUCCUUUGACGUUAGCGGCGGACGGGUGAGUAACACGUAGGUAACCUACCUAUAAGACUGGGAUAACUUCGGGAAACCGGAGCUAAUACCGGAUAAUAUUUCGAACCGCAUGGUUCGAUAGUGAAAGAUGGCUUUGCUAUCACUUAUAGAUGGACCUGCGCCGUAUUAGCUAGUUGGUAAGGUAACGGCUUACCAAGGCAACGAUACGUAGCCGACCUGAGAGGGUGAUCGGCCACACUGGAACUGAGACACGGUCCAGACUCCUACGGGAGGCAGCAGUAGGGAAUCUUCCGCAAUGGGCGAAAGCCUGACGGAGCAACGCCGCGUGAGUGAUGAAGGUCUUCGGAUCGUAAAACUCUGUUAUUAGGGAAGAACAAACGUGUAAGUAACUGUGCACGUCUUGACGGUACCUAAUCAGAAAGCCACGGCUAACUACGUGCCAGCAGCCGCGGUAAUACGUAGGUGGCAAGCGUUAUCCGGAAUUAUUGGGCGUAAAGCGCGCGUAGGCGGUUUUUUAAGUCUGAUGUGAAAGCCCACGGCUCAACCGUGGAGGGUCAUUGGAAACUGGAAAACUUGAGUGCAGAAGAGGAAAGUGGAAUUCCAUGUGUAGCGGUGAAAUGCGCAGAGAUAUGGAGGAACACCAGUGGCGAAGGCGACUUUCUGGUCUGUAACUGACGCUGAUGUGCGAAAGCGUGGGGAUCAAACAGGAUUAGAUACCCUGGUAGUCCACGCCGUAAACGAUGAGUGCUAAGUGUUAGGGGGUUUCCGCCCCUUAGUGCUGCAGCUAACGCAUUAAGCACUCCGCCUGGGGAGUACGACCGCAAGGUUGAAACUCAAAGGAAUUGACGGGGACCCGCACAAGCGGUGGAGCAUGUGG
rnacentral:rRNA from 1 species